rnacentral:rRNA from 1 species
AUUGAACGCUGGCGGCAGGCCUAACACAUGCAAGUCGAACGGUAGCACAGAGGAGCUUGCUCCUUGGGUGACGAGUGGCGGACGGGUGAGUAAUGUCUGGGAAACUGCCCGAUGGAGGGGGAUAACUACUGGAAACGGUAGCUAAUACCGCAUAACGUCGCAAGACCAAAGAGGGGGACCUUCGGGCCUCUUGCCAUCGGAUGUGCCCAGAUGGGAUUAGCUAGUAGGUGGGGUAACGGCUCACCUAGGCGACGAUCCCUAGCUGGUCUGAGAGGAUGACCAGCCACACUGGAACUGAGACACGGUCCAGACUCCUACGGGAGGCAGCAGUGGGGAAUAUUGCACAAUGGGCGCAAGCCUGAUGCAGUCAUGCCGCGUGUAUGAAGAAGGCCUUCGGGUUGUAAAGUACUUUCAGCGAGGAGGAAGGCGUUGUGGUUAAUAACCGCAACGAUUGACGUUACUCGCAGAAGAAGCACCGGCUAACUCCGUGCCAGCAGCCGCGGUAA